GAUGAACGCUGGCGGCGUGCCUAAUACAUGCAAGUCGAGCGAACAGAUGAGGAGCUUGCUCCUCUGACGUUAGCGGCGGACGGGUGAGUAACACGUGGAUAACCUACCUAUAAGACUGGGAUAACUUCGGGAAACCGGAGCUAGUACCGGAUAAUAUAUUGAACCGCAUGGUUCAAUAGUGAAAGACGGUUUUGCUGUCACUUAUAGAUGGAUCCGCGCCGCAUUAGCUAGUUGGUAAGGUAACGGCUUACCAAGGCAACGAUGCGUAGCCGACCUGAGAGGGUGAUCGGCCACACUGGAACUGAGACACGGUCCAGACUCCUACGGGAGGCAGCAGUAGGGAAUCUUCCGCAAUGGGCGAAAGCCUGACGGAGCAACGCCGCGUGAGUGAUGAAGGUCUUCGGAUCGUAAAACUCUGUUAUUAGGGAAGAACAAAUGUGUAAGUAACUAUGCACGUCUUGACUGUACCUAAUCAGAAAGCCACGGCUAACUACGUG
rnacentral:rRNA from 1 species